rnacentral:rRNA from 1 species
GCUGGCGGCAGGCCUAACACAUGCAAGUCGAACGGAGUUAUAUUGUAGCUUGCUAUGGUAUAACUUAGUGGCAGACGGGUGAGUAAUGUAUAGGAAUCUACCUAGUAGUACGGAAUAAUUGUUGGAAACGGCAACUAAUACCGUAUACGCCCUACGGGGGAAAAAUUUAUUGCUAUUAGAUGAGCCUAUAUUAGAUUAGCUAGUUGGUGGAGUAAUAGCCUACCAAGGCAAUGAUCUAUAGCUGAUCUGAGAGGAUGAUCAGCCACACUGGAACUGAGAUACGGUCCAGACUCCUACGGGAGGCAGCAGUGGGGAAUAUUGGACAAUGGGCGAAAGCCUGAUCCAGCCAUGCCGCAUGAGUGAAGAAGGCCUUUGGGUUGUAAAGCUCUUUUAGUGAGGAAGAUAAUGACGGUACUCACAGAAGAAGUCCUGGCUAACUCCGUGCCAGCAGCCGCGGUAAUACGGAGAGGGCUAGCGUUAUUCGGAAUUAUUGGGCGUAAAGGGCGCGUAGGCGGAUUAGUAAGUUAAAAGUGAAAUCCCAAGGCUCAACCUUGGAAUUGCUUUUAAAACUGCUAAUCUAGAGAUUGAAAGAGGAUAGAGGAAUUCCUAGUGUAGAGGUGAAAUUCGUAAAUAUUAGGAGGAACACCAGUGGCGAAGGCGUCUAUCUGGUUCAAAUCUGACGCUGAGGCGCGAAGGCGUGGGGAGCAAACAGGAUUAGAUACCCUGGUAGUCCACGCUGUAAACGAUGAAUGUUAAAUAUGGGAAGUUUUACUUUCUGUAU